rnacentral:misc_RNA from 1 species
GAUGAAGAACGUAGCGAAAUGCGAUAAGUAAUGUGAAUUGCAGAAUUCAGUGAAUCAUCGAAUCUUUGAACGCACAUUGCGCCCGCCAGUAUUCUGGCGGGCAUGCCUGUUCGAGCGUCAUUUCAACCAUCAAGCCCCGGGCUUGUGUUGGGGACCUGCGGCUGCCGCAGGCCCUGAAAACCAGUGGCGGGCUCGCUGUCACACCGGGCGUAGUAGAUUUUAUCUCGCUCUGGGCGUGCUGCGGGUUCCGGCCGUUAAAAAACCCUUUUAACCCAAGGUUGACCUCGGAUCAGGUAGGAAUACCCGCUGAAUUUAAGCAUAUCAAUAAGCGGAGGA